AGCAGCCGCGGUAAUUCCAGCUCCAAUAGCGUAUAUUAAAGUUGUUGCAGUUAAAAAGCUCGUAGUUGAAUUUCGGGGUCAGUAGGUCGGUCAUGCCACUGGUAUGUACUGGUCUCACUGAUUCCUCCUUCCUGAUGAGCCGUAAUGCCAUUAAUUUGGUGUUGCGAGGAAUCUGGACUGUUACUUUGAAAAAUUAGAGUGUUUAAAGCAGGCUAACGCUUGAAUACAUUAGCAUGGAAUAAUGAAAUAGGACGUUCGAUCUUAUUUUGUUGGUUUCUAAGAUUGACGUAAUGAUUAAUAGGGAUAGUUGGGGGCAUUAGUAUUCAAUUGUCAGAGGUGAAAUUCUUGGAUUUAUUGAAGACUAACUACUGCGAAAGCAUUUGCCAAGGAUGUUUUCAUUAAUCAAGAACGAAAGUUAGGGGAUCGAAGACGAUCAGAUACCGUCGUAGUCUUAACCGUAAACUAUGCCGACUAGGGAUCGGAUGAUGUUAAUUUUUUAAUGACUCAUUC
rnacentral:rRNA from 1 species